GAUUGCCAAAUUAUCUUCUUGCCUUCUGAGUAAAUAAACAUUUGUAGGGGGCUGACCAAAGCAACAAUGGGUACUUACUUAAGCGAAGAUAUUGACCAGUAAUUGAUGUAACUUCCUGGACGGAUGCACCAGAAACUGACAGGAGCGCCAGAGGGUGGCCUCCUCUCCCUGAGAGUCUAUUUUGAAUUGUCUCUUGUGGCCACUCCCCUGAAGCGGCAGGAGAGAGGCUUUCCAUGGAAUUGAAGGCGGAAAGAUGACUAGGUUGGAGGUUACAAGCGUGGCGUUUAUAAACACACGUCUGUAUGGCUGCUUUGCAAUGCCUGUCACUCUGCCUUUGAGGAGGGGCUGUUUUGGGGGGAAGAGCAUUGUUGGAUGGGUGACCUAAUUUGUUUCCUUCGUUUCCUUCUGGCCUGAACUGGGCAGGUAGCCCUGACCCACAAGGUCUUAAACUGCCGAAAGGAAAUCCAUCUGCUGAUAGAGAAGAUACACUGAGAGAUAAAGAAGAGGUUUUUGCUGACAGCUUCCUCCUCUGCCUGACUCUGGCUUUAGUCGAAGUAUUAAAGGGCUGGUGACUGGACUUCACUCCUCCAGUGUCUGAAAUCUUACCCUGAAAUCAGACCAGACCCUAAUUACAGGGGUUAUUGUUUUCUAAUGGUUUUAUCUGCAUUCGUUUUCUCGCCUUCAUCCAGUGGCACUCAGAACUCUUUGGGGACAGAGUUCAGGGCUCUACAUUCUGCCAUGGUUGGACUCUAUAAGGACCUAGCUGAAGGAUUAAAGAGGGAUUUAAUUUUUCUUUUUUUUUUUUGGUCUUUUGUCCUUUUUAGGGCCGCACCCAUGGCGCAUGGAGGUUCGAUCCCUGGCCUCACCCAAUGGGUUAAGGACCUGGCCUUGCCGUGAGCUGUGGUGUAGGUUGCAGAUGCAGCUCAGAGCUCAGAUCCCGUAUUGCUGUGGCUGUGUCCUAGGCCGGUCGCUGCAGCUGCGAUUCGACCCUUAGCCUGGGAACUUCCUUAUGCCUCGGGUGUGGCCUUAAAAAUACAAAAACAAAAAACAAAACAAAAAAGAAAAGAAAAGAAAUGCCAUAUACUUAGUGUAUUCAUCGUCACCCUUUCAUCCCCCUUCAGGCCCUGUUCUCUCUAGUAAUCUGUUUCUCUCUGUGAAUGAGUGACUGUUGGUGUUUAAAUACCAAGGUCUUUCCCACCCCCUUUUGCCCUGGGAAGCUUUGAAUCACCCCGUUUGGGGCUUUCCUUCUUAGAUAUGUUGACACUGUGAUGCACGUAUCAGCAGCAGUCAACCAGACUGUCGAAUGAGCAGAUGUGGAGCUUCCACUCUGUUUCUUUUCUUUUUUUUUUUUUUUUUUUUUUUUUUUUUUUUAUCUUUUGUCGUUUUCAUGGCUGCACCCGCGGCAUAUGGAGGUUCCCAGGCUAGGGGUCCAGUUGGACCUGUAGCCACUGGCCUACACCAGAGCCACAGCAACGCAGGAUCCGAGCCGCGUCUGCAACUACACCACAGCUCAUGGCAAUGCCGGAUCCUUAACCCACUGAGCAAGACCAGGGAUCAAACCUGCAACCUCAUGGUUCCUAGUCGGAUUUGUUAACCACUGAGCCAUGAUGGGAAGGAACUCCCCGACUCUGUUUCUGUUUGUGUAGGCAAAGGAGACAUUUUCUCGGGAGAAUUUCUUUCGGAAGGAUCAUGAUGGGCUUGGUCAGAGAUUUGACCUUGGCAGACUGUGGACCGCCAGUAGCUUAGGAGGGUGGAGAUUGGGAGAUGAGAGAUGUUGAAGAGAUUCCAGUUUGGGGUUGGACUUGGUGACCUCUAAGGUCCUUUUGGUAGCUUCAGGCUUUGUGAUAAGUGGCAGGAUGUGGUGUGGUGGGGGUAAGUGACUGACUGGGGUGAUUUCAGCCCUGUCCCUUCCCUCUGGGAGUGUCAACACUUCCCCAGGAGUACGUGGCUGAAGUGGGAGAGUCAGCUCUGAGGUCCAUCAGGGUAAAGGGGAAAGUGGCAAAAAUGCCAGUGAUUUGCUUAUUAGAUCUGCAUGCUCUUUUUUUUUUUUAGAGCAUUUUUUAAUUACUCACUUACAUUUAUAGUUGUACAAUGAUCAUCCCAACCUAGUUUUAUAGCAUUUCCAACCCAAACCCCCAGUGCAUCCUCCCAUCCCCCAACCUGUCUCAUUUGGAAACCAUAAGUUUUUUAAAGUCUAUGAGUUAGUAUCUGUUUUGCAAAGAAGUUCAUUCUGUCCUUUUUAAAAAUUCCACAUGUGAGCGGUCACAUUUGAUGUUGGUGUCUCACCAUCUGACUGACUUCACUUAGCAUGAUAAUUUCUAGGUCCAUCCAUGUUGCUGCAAAUGCCGUUAUUUUGUUCCUUUUAAUGGCUGAGUAAUAUUCCAUUGUGUAUAUGUACCACAUCUUCUUUAUCCACGCCUCUGUCGAUGGACAUUUAGGUUGUUUCCAUGUCUUGGCUAUUGUAAAUAGUGCUGCAAUAAACAUUGGAGUACAUGUGUCUUUGCUAGUCGUGGUUUUCCCUGGGUAGAUGCCCAGGAGUGGGAUUGCUAGAUCAAAUGGUAAUUCUAUUUUCAGUUUUCUGAGGAAUCUCCAUACCGUUUUCCACAGUGGUUGCACCAAUUUACAAUCUCACCAACAGUGUAAGAGGGUUCCCUUUUUCCACAGCCUCUCCAGCACUUAUUGUUUGUAGACUUUUAGGUGAUGGCCAUUCUGGCUGGUGUAAGGUGGUACCUCAUCGUGGUUUUGAUUUGCAUUUUUGUAAUAAUGAGUGAUGUUGAACAUCUUUUCAUGUGUUUUUUGGCCAUCUCUAUGUCUUCUUUGGAGAAUUGUCUGUUUAGAUACUCUGCCCAUUUUUUGAUGGGAUUGUGUGUUUUUUUGGUAUUGAGCUGCAGAAGGUGCUUAUAAAUUUUGGAGGGAUCUGCAUGCUCUUUGAAUGUCCUACUCAUCUUUGUCUUGAUCUCAGUGGGUAUGCAAUAACUGUCUGUUAUUUAAAUAAUAAAUUGUAGCUUAAAUUGCCUUUGCUAGGAGUCAUUAAAGCCCUUUAUUUCUUCCUUACCAUUGUGGCUCAGUGGUAAGGAACCUGACUAGUAUCCAUGGGGAUGCUGGUUCUAUCCCUGGCCUCACUAGGUGAAUUAAGGAUCUGGCAUUGCUGGGGCUGUGGGGUAGGCCAGCAGCUGUACUUCCGAAUUGACCCCUAGACUGAGAACUUCCAUAUGUUACAAGUUUGGCCCUAUAAAGCAAAAAAAAAAAAAA
rnacentral:lncRNA from 1 species